AUGGUGAUUUUACACUUGCGGUGGAAUAGCUACCUAUUGUAUACUCGGUUUUCGCCUGCAUCCAAGCUGUGUGAGCAUCUGAUGACACGUGGCUUGGAGUUUAUUCAAUUCAAUUCCACACAUUUUGGGCCAGGAUUCAUAUGCAACCCGGAACUUGUCAAUUAUUCAACUGAAGAAUUGGUCAAUUGUAACUGUGGCUGA